rnacentral:misc_RNA from 1 species
GAUGAAGAACGUAGCGAAAUGCGAUAAGUAAUGUGAAUUGCAGAAUUCAGUGAAUCGUCGAAUCUUUGAACGCACAUUGCGCCCGCCAGUAUUCUGGCGGGCAUGCCUGUUCGAGCGUCAUUUCAACCAUCAAGCCCCCGGCUUGUGUUGGGGACCUGCGGCUGCCGCAGGCCCUGAAAACCAGUGGCGGGCUCGCUAGUCACUCCGAGCGUAGUAAUACAUCUCGCUCAGGGCGUGCUGCGGGUUCCGGCCGUUAAAAAGCCUUAUUUACCCAAGGUUGACCUCGGAUCAGGUAGGGAGACCCGCUGAACUUAAGCAUAUCAAUAAGCGGAGGA